GCCCUUAGGCCCGCCAUAAUCCCGGGAAACUGGGGCUAAAGGCGGACAGGUAAGGGAUGCUGGAAUGCGCCCUUAUCGAACUAAGGAUGGGACUGCGGCCGAUUAGCUUGUUGCUAGGGUAAAAUCCUGGCAAGGCGAUAAUCGGUACGGGCCUUGAAAGAGGAAGCCCGGAGAUGGAUUCUGAGACAAGAAUCCAGGUCCUACGGGACGCAGCAGUCGCGAAACUUUCACAAUGCGCGCAAGCGUGAUGGAGGGAUUCAGAGUGUCUUCUCUUUUUUUGAGGAGACUUUUGUGGAGUCUAAACCACUCCACGAAUAAGUGGUGGGUAAGACGGGUGCCAGCCGCCGCGGUAAUACCCGCGCCACGAGUGGUGACCACGUUUAUUGGGCUUAAAGCGUUCGUAGCCGGCCUGGUAAGUUUCCAAUGAAAUUCCACAGAUGACUGUGGAGCUUGUUGGAAAUACUGCCGGGCUUGGGACCGGGAGAGGUCGAGGGUAUUGUAGGGGUAGGGGUAAAAUCCUAUAAUCCCUACAGGACCGCCUGUGGCGAAGGCGCUCGACUAGAACGGAUCCGACGGUGAGGGACGAAAGCUAGGGGAGCGAACGGGAUUAGAUACCCCGGUAGUCCUAGCCGUAAACGAUACCCACUAGACGUUGGAGUUCUUACGGGGGGCUCCAGAGUCGUAGGGAAACCGUUAAGUGGGUCGCCUGGGGAGUACGGUCGCAAGGCUGAAACUUAAGGGAAUUGGCGGGGGAGCACACAAGGGGUGGAGGCUGCGGUUCAAUUCGACUCAACGCGAGGAACCUUACCAGCGGCGACAGCAGAAUGAAGGUCAGGCUGAAGGUCUUACCAGACAAGCUGAGAGGUGGUGCAUGGCCGUCGUCAGUUCGUGCCGUGAGGUGUCCUGUUAAGUCAGGCAACGAACGAGACCCGCACCCUGUGUUACUACUGGGUCCUUUGGGCUCAGGUACUCACAGGGGACCGCUGGCGACAAGCCAGAGGAAGGGGCGGGCGACGGCAGGUCAGUAUGGUCUGAAUCCGCUGGGCAACACGCGGC
rnacentral:rRNA from 1 species